GAUCCUGGCUCAGGAUGAACGCUAGCUACAGGCUUAACACAUGCAAGUCGAGGGGAAACGGCAUUGAGUGCUUGCACUCUUUGGACGUCGACCGGCGCACGGGUGAGUAACGCGUAUCCAACCUUCCCAUUACUGUGGGAUAACCUGCCGAAAGGCAGACUAAUACCGCAUAGUCUUCGAUGACGGCAUCAGAUUUGAAGUAAAGAUUUAUCAGUAAUGGAUGGGGAUGCGU
rnacentral:rRNA from 1 species